rnacentral:RNase_P_RNA from 1 species
CUGGAUAAUUGCUGGUAUUAAUACUAGAGGAAAGUCCAUGCUCGCACUAUUCUGCGAUGAUAGUAGUGUUUGUGCCAAAGGAAAAAAUAACUUUGGGUAGAUGGGAGCAUCUAACGGCGGAACGAAACCUAAGUUGAAAAAUAUGGUCUAGUUUCUGAAAGUGCCACAGUGACGUAGUUAAAUAGAAAUAUUUAAGUGGAACGCGGUAAACCCCUCAAGCGAGAAACCUAAAUUCGGUAAGGGAGGAGAAUAAAGCGAAUUGAAGCUUAUUUCUCAUGCUUAUGCAUAGAUAAAUAAUUGUCCUAGACAAAACAUGGCUUACAG